AUUGAACGCUGGCGGCAGGCCUAACACAUGCAAGUCGAGCGGAUGAAGGGAGCUUGCUCCUGGAUUCAGCGGCGGACGGGUGAGUAAUGCCUAGGAAUCUGCCUGGUAGUGGGGGAUAACGUCCGGAAACGGGCGCUAAUACCGCAUACGUCCUGAGGGAGAAAGUGGGGGAUCUUCGGACCUCACGCUAUCAGAUGAGCCUAGGUCGGAUUAGCUAGUUGGUGGGGUAAAGGCCUACCAAGGCGACGAUCCGUAACUGGUCUGAGAGGAUGAUCAGUCACACUGGAACUGAGACACGGUCCAGACUCCUACGGGAGGCAGCAGUGGGGAAUAUUGGACAAAGGGCGAAAGCCUGAUCCAGCCAUGCCGCGUGUGUGAAGAAGGUCUUCGGAUUGUAAAGCACUUUAAGUUGGGAGGAAGGGAAGUAAGUUAAUACCUUGCUGUUUUGACGUUACCAACAGAAUAAGCACCGGCUAACUUCGUG
rnacentral:rRNA from 1 species